rnacentral:rRNA from 1 species
ACGGUGAGGGAUGAAAGUUGGGGGAGCAAACCGGAUUAGAUACCCGGGUAGUCCCAGCUGUAAACGAUGCAGACUCGGUGAUGGGUUGGCUUCGUGCCAACCCAGUGCCGCAGGGAAGCCGUUAAGUCUGCCGCCUGGGGAGUACGGUCGCAAGACUGAACUUAAAGGAAUUGGCGGGGAGCACCACAAGGGGGGAAGCCUGCGGUUCAAUUGGAGUCAACGCCG